GGUUUGUGCCUACCUAAGGCUUUCCAAAGGUCAACUGCAUUUAAAUAACUGCUAGAUAAACUGCCCACAACUUGAAACGAAUGCUGGAUGAAAAACACAGCAUGUUCUACUCCUUUAAAGUUGUUCUGCGUAAUUUUUAACCAAGUUUUGGAUGGAAGAGGUGAAUUAUUGCACAGCAUACAACUUUGGGCCACACACUCAAUGCUGCCACCCAUAAACACCUUACCUCAUCUUGAAGGACUGGUGACACAAGGCUGUGCCCGACAUCAUGCAGGGCUGUGUGAUGACUGAUUCCAGUGAAUGAAAGGGAGGAGGUAUCAAGGAUGCUGAAGGAGGAAUGUACCACUUGUCUGCAGGUCAGGAUGCAUUAAGUGACCACUUGGUGGUCCACAGUAUGAUCUGGGACAGAGGAACCACAUAGGAAGCAGAAAGAUAGAAACAUGCUUCCCUCCAUUCUCUACAGCUAUACAAAAAAAAAAACAAUAAACCCUUGAACGUCCUCCAGUGACAAAAAAAAAUCAGCCUGAUCUCACGUUCCAAGAAUGAAACCCUGGCAUGGAAGUGGCAUAUCUGCUAGUUAAUGUCAACAUUUGAUGUGCAGUCAGAGAGCAAACAGGAUUUCAUAUUGUGGUAAAAAAUGGAAAUACUAUUUGCUUUAAUUCUAGUUUCUUCGUGUCGGAUGUAUUAGGAGUCUCAUAAAAUAGUAAAAGAAUUUAAUUUUUACUUGCAAUUAUAAGAAGCAAUAGAUAUAUAUAUAUAAUACAAUGUACCUACUUCUACAAGUACAAACAAUAUGUAAAAUCUAGCUAGUAAUGAAUAGCUUGAAACAUCCUUUGCAGAAAGCAUUAUAAUAAAAGACUUCAGUGACUUUGUUUAACACUCAGCUACUAAGAAGGGGAAGAGAACACUUGACUGUGAAUGAACUUCGCUAUAGCAAAAGGAAAGUUCUCCCUGAUUUACAAAUAGGCACAGAGAGACUAAGAUAUCAUGUAGAGUGGGUGCAGCUUGCUGUCCAGCUCUCACCAGCCAUGUGUAGAAAGCAAAUUAACCCAUGUGCCUUAUUGUCCUCCAGUCUUCUGGACAAGAGAUCACAGGAGAUCAUGUUUCAAACAGUGAUGUCCUAAGUCUGGGAAGAGCUGAGCAAUGGGACUCUCACUGCUGUAGGAAGGCAGUGCUCAGAACCACAGGAUAGUCCUGGGCUCCCAGGGACAAUAAUGAAUGACAACCAUCACUGGCACAGCACUUCUGUGAGUCUCAGAGCAGAAACACCUGCCAUAUAUCCCACCCUGGCAGGGAAAUGGAGCUGGUGACCAGCAAUCUUUUCCACCUCUAACUUCUGGGUCUUUAUGAAUCGUCAGUCACACCUAGGUGUGAUAUCACUAUAAAAUCCCAGUCACGGAAGAGAGCUGGCAGAAAGCUUUGCCUUUCUGCAACUCUGUGGUUUUAUGCUUAGAUGUGUCCUAAAUACUGAAAGAACGAAGUAGACUUUCAAGCAUCAGUGUUGACAGUUGCUUUCAGAGAUGUUCAAACAAAAUCCAGUCACAUAGACAGCAAAACCAGUUGCAGCACUAA